GUCGAGCGAUCAAUAGGAGCUUGCUCCUGUUGGUUAGCGGCGGACGGGUGAGUAACACGUGGGCAACCUGCCUGUAAGACUGGGAUAACUUCGGGAAACCGGAGCUAAUACCGGAUAAUCCUUUCCCUCUCAUGAGGGAAAGCUGAAAGUCGGUUUACGCUGACACUUACAGAUGGGCCCGCGGCGCAUUAGCUAGUUGGUGAGGUAACGGCUCACCAAGGCGACGAUGCGUAGCCGACCUGAGAGGGUGAUCGGCCACACUGGGACUGAGACACGGCCCAGACUCCUACGGGAGGCAGCAGUAGGGAAUCUUCCGCAAUGGACGAAAGUCUGACGGAGCAACGCCGCGUGAGCGAUGAAGGCCUUCGGGUCGUAAAGCUCUGUUGUUAGGGAAGAACAAGUACCGGAGUAACUGCCGGUACCUUGACGGUACCUAACCAGAAAGCCACGGCUAACUACGUGCCAGCAGCCGCGGUAAUACGUAGGUGGCAAGCGUUGUCCGGAAUUAUUGGGCGUAAAGCGCGCGCAGGCGGUCCUUUAAGUCUGAUGUGAAAGCCCACGGCUCAACCGUGGAGGGUCAUUGGAAACUGGGGGACUUGAGUGCAGAAGAGGAAAGCGGAAUUCCACGUGUAGCGGUGAAAUGCGUAGAGAUGUGGAGGAACACCAGUGGCGAAGGCGGCUUUCUGGUCUGUAACUGACGCUGAGGCGCGAAAGCGUGGGGAGCAAACAGGAUUAGAUACCCUGGUAGUCCACGCCGUAAACGAUGAGUGCUAAGUGUUAGAGGGUUUCCGCCCUUUAGUGCUGCAGCUAACGCAUUAAGCACUCCGCCUGGGGGAGUACGGCCGCAAGGCUGAAACUCAAAAGGAAUUGACGGGGGGCCCGCACAAGCGG
rnacentral:rRNA from 2 species